GCCCCCCAGUUUGUCCUUGAGCACCGCCAGGUCAUUUAGGUGCACUCCCAGUUGAUCCAGUUCAUGCUGGUGCACUCCCAGUCCGUCCCAGUGCACCCCAGUCCAUCCCAGUGCAUUCCCAGUCCAUCCGAGUUGAUCCUCCUUCAUUCCAGUCUGUACUGGUGCGCUUCCAGUUCAUCCCAGUGCACUCCCAGUUCAUUCCAGUCCAUCCCAGUGCACUCCCAGUCCAUGCCAGUGCACUCCCAGUCCAUGCUGGUGCAUCUCCAGUUCAUCCCAGUCCAUCCCAGUGCUCCCCAGUCCAUUCUAGUGCACUCCCAGUGCAUCCCAGUCCAUCCCAGUGCACUCCCAGUCCAUUCUGGUGCACUCCCAGUGCAUCCCAAUCCAUCCCAGUGCACUCCCAGUCCAUUCUGGUGCACUCCCAGUGGGGGGGGGGGGGGGGGGGGGGGGGGGGGGGGGGGGGGGGGGGGGGGGGGGGGGGGGGGGG
rnacentral:lncRNA from 12 species